AUUGAACGCUGGCGGCAGGCCUAACACAUGCAAGUCGAGCGCGCGGCGGACGGGUGAGUAAUGUCUGGGAAUUCCCCAGUCGAGGGGGAUAACAUGUGGAAACGACUUCUAAUACCGCAUACGAGUGGAUCGCCCAGGGGGGAUUAGCUAGUUGGUGAGGUAAUGGCACACCAAGGCGACGAUCCCUAGGUGGUCUGAGAGGAUGAUCAGCCACACUGGAACUGAGACACGGUCCAGACUCCUACGGGAGGCAGCAGUGGGGAAUAUUGCACAAUGGGGGAAACCCUGAUGCAGCCAUGCCGCGUGUAUGAAGAAGGCCUUAGGGUUGUAAAGCACUUUCAGCGAGGAGGCGUUACUCGCAGAAGAAGCACCGGCUAACUCCGUGCCAGCAGCCGCGGUAAUAC
rnacentral:rRNA from 1 species